UCUCAUAUCCAAAACCAUUUUUGGAUAAUCUUUAUGCCAUAUGGGGUGCCCCUUAAAUAAGGGAUGAAGGGGCGCCACACAAGACAUCAAGGGGCGCCAACUUUUGGCAUCCCAACUCCCUAACACAAUGAAAUUAAUUUCUUCAGCAUGGAAACCCUAGUGUUAGGCAUAGAAUAAGAGGUGUUUCAUCUAUAGAAGGACUCUUCCUCUAUAAGAAAAAAUCAAAAUGCCAAAAUAUGGCACGUGGAAUUAAGGGAGAAAUUAAUUGGUGC
rnacentral:lncRNA from 1 species